rnacentral:rRNA from 1 species
AUACGGAGGGUGCGAGCGUUAAUCGGAAUUACUGGGCGUAAAGCGUGCGUAGGCGGUUUGGCAAGUCAGGUGUGAAAGCCCACGGCUUAACCGUGGAAGUGCAUUUGAAACUGUCAGACUUGAGUACCAGAGGGGGUAGUGGAAUUCCCGGUGUAGAGGUGAAAUUCGUAGAUAUCGGGAGGAAUACCGGUGGCGAAGGCGGCUACCUGGCUGGAUACUGACGCUGAGGCGCGAAAGCGUGGGGAGCAAACAGGAUUAGAAACCCCGGUAGUCC